rnacentral:rRNA from 1 species
UGGGGAAUAUUGGACAAUGGGCGAAAGCCUGAUCCAGCCAUGCCGCGUGUGUGAAGAAGGCCUUUUGGUUGUAAAGCACUUUAAGCGAGGAGGAGGCUACUUGGAUUAAUACUCUAGGAUAGUGGACGUUACUCGCAGAAUAAGCACCGGCUAACUCUGUGCCAGCAGCCGCGGUAAUACAGAGGGUGCGAGCGUUAAUCGGAUUUACUGGGCGUAAAGCGUGCGUAGGCGGCUUUUUAAGUCGGAUGUGAAAUCCCUGAGCUUAACUUAGGAAUUGCAUUCGAUACUGGGAAGCUAGAGUAUGGGAGAGGAUGGUAGAAUUCCAGGUGUAGCGGUGAAAUGCGUAGAGAUCUGGAGGAAUACCGAUGGCGAAGGCAGCCAUCUGGCCUAAUACUGACGCUGAGGUACGAAAGCAUGGGGAGCAAACAGGAU